rnacentral:rRNA from 1 species
GACGAACGCUGGCGGCGUGCUUAACACAUGCAAGUCGAACGGAAAGGCCCUGCUUUUGUGGGGUGCUCGAGUGGCGAACGGGUGAGUAACACGUGAGUAACCUGCCCUUGACUUUGGGAUAACUUCAGGAAACUGGGGCUAAUACCGGAUAGGAGCUCCUGCUGCAUGGUGGGGGUUGGAAAGUUUCGGCGGUUGGGGAUGGACUCGCGGCUUAUCAGCUUGUUGGUGGGGUAGUGGCUUACCAAGGCUUUGACGGGUAGCCGGCCUGAGAGGGUGACCGGCCACAAUGGGAAUGAGGUACGGCCCAGACUCCUACGGGAGGCAGCAGUGGGGAAUAUUGCACAAUGGGCGGAAGCCUGAUGCAGCAACGCCGCGUGCGGGAUGACGGCCUUCGGGUUGUAAACCGCUUUCGCCUGUGACGAAGCGUGAGUGACGGUAAUGGGUAAAGAAGCACCGGCUAACUACGUG